rnacentral:lncRNA from 1 species
UUGUAUUUUCAGGAUCCCUUUUCCUAACUUUUACAAGAUGCAGGACUUCGAUGAUAUGCACGUAGCCUAUAUAGAUGAUGCCUAGAGAGAGCGCUACAUAGCUCUUUGUCGCUCCCCAGGAUUUCUAGAAUCCAGGUACAAACGCGAAAAAGAGUGGCGAGGAGAAAAGAAUAGAGUCGCCAGCUAUGUACUUUUAUCCCAAGAGGAGGGAAAGGUAG